rnacentral:rRNA from 1 species
ACUCCUACGGGAGGCAGCAGUAGGGGAAUCUUCCACAAUGGGCGCAAGCCUGAUGGAGCAACACCGCGUGAGUGAAGAAGGGUUUCGGCUCGUAAAGCUCUGCUGUUAAAGAAGAACACGUAUGAGAGUAACUGUUCAUACGUUGACGGUAUUUAACCAGAAAGUCACGGCUAACUACGUGCCAGCAGCCGCGGUAAUACGUAGGUGGCAAGCGUUAUCCGGAUUUAUUGGGCGUAAAGAGAGUGCAGGCGGUUUUCUAAGUCUGAUGUGAAAGCCUUCGGCUUAACCGGAGAAGUGCAUCGGAAACUGGAUAACUUGAGUGCAGAAGAGGGUAGUGGAACUCCAUGUGUAGCGGUGGAAUGCGUAGAUAUAUGGAAGAACACCAGUGGCGAAGGCGGCUACCUGGUCUGCAACUGACGCUGAGACUCGAAAGCAUGGGUAGCGAACAGGAUUAGAUACCCU